rnacentral:rRNA from 1 species
AUGAUUUGAGCUGUGGGCUNGGAUUGUGGCUGUUUGCUGGCUUUAAGUAGCCGGCUCGGCUGAAAUACACGAGCAACCGCAUGAAUUAACAACGGCUUGNCUCGGCGNAAUAAUUAUUUCGCUGAGGACGUUUCCCAAUUCUAAAGGUGCUUCUAAUGCAUUAGCNAUAAUCUUUUAAGCUUUAGACCUCAAAUCAGUCAGGACUACCCGCUGAACUUAAGCAUAUCAAUAAGCGGAGGAAAAGAAACUAACAAGGAUUCCCCUAGUAACGGCGAGUGAAGUGGGAAAAGCUCAACUUUGAAAUCUGGCAGCUUUGCUGUCCGAGUUGUAGUCUCGAGAAGUGUUUUCCGUGUUAAACCGUGUAUGAGUCUGUUGGAACACAGCGUCAUAGAGGGUGAGAACCCCGUUCAUGACACGGCUUUUAAUGCUUUGUGAUACACUUUCGAUGAGUCGAGUUGUUUGGGAAUGCAGCUCAAAAUGGGUGGUAAAUUCCAUCUAAAGCUAAAUAUUGGCGAGAGACCGAUAGCAAACAAGUACCGUGAGGGAAAGAUGAAAAGCACUUYGGAAAGMGAGUUAAAAGUACGUGAAAUUGUUGAAAGGGAAACGAUUGAAGUCAGACGUGCGCGGUACUUGUACCACUGCAGGCCAGCAUCGGUUUCCCGAGCCGGAUAAAGGUUUGGGGAAGGUAGCAGUNUCGGCUGUGUUAUAGCCUC